rnacentral:rRNA from 1 species
GCGACCCCAGGAUGGGCGAGGCCACCCGCCGAGUUUAAGCAUAU